CUUCCUCCCAUUGAAUCAAGAGAAACUCCAUUGUUGUCUUGCAAAUUCUUGUGGAAAACCAUACACCAACUUUGGUUAUUGUCAUAUUAUUAUUGUUGUAAAACCAUUCACAUAUUCAAGUCUUGUAAGGAAUUCUUGUGGAGACAUAAACUUCAAGACAAUCUUGAAGGAAGGAUCAAGGAGUAAUCUUCAUAAGGACCUUUGGACAAUCAUCA
rnacentral:lncRNA from 1 species